UCCCCUAGUAACUGCGAGUGAAGCGGGAAAAGCUCAAAUUUAAAAUCUGGCGGUCUUUGGCCGUCCGAGUUGUAGUCUGGAGAAGCGUCUUCCGCGCUGGACCGUGUACAAGUCUCUUGGAACAGAGCGUCAUAGAGGGUGAGAAUCCCGUCUUUGACACGGACUACCAGUGCUUUGUGAUGCGCUCUCAAAGAGUCGCGUUGUUUGGGAAUGCAGCGCAAAAUGGGAGGUGAAUUCCUUCUAAAGCUAAAUAUUGGCGAGAGACCGAUAGCGAACAAGUACCGUGAGGGAAAGAUGAAAAGCACUUUGGAAAGAGAGUUAAACAGUACGUGAAAUUGCUGAAAGGGAAACGCUUGAAGUCAGUCGCGUCGUCCGGAACUCAGCCUUGCUUCGGCUUGGUGCACUUUCCGGUUGACGGGCCAGCAUCGAUUUUGACCGCUGGAAAAGGGCUGGAGGAAUGUGGCACCUUCGGGUGUGUUAUAGCCUUCAGUCGCAUACAGCGGUUGGGAUCGAGGAACGCAGCGCGCCUUAUGGCUGGGGUUCGCCCACAUUCGCGCUUAGGAUGCUGGCAUAAUGGCUUUAAACGACCCGUCUUGAAACACGGACCAAGGAGUCUAACAUGCCUGCGAGUGUUUGGGUGGAAAACCCGAGCGCGUAAUGAAAGUGAAAGUUGAGACCUCUGUCGUGGAGGGCAUCGACGCCCGGACCUGAAGUUUUCUGACGGAUCCGCGGUAGAGCAUGUAUGUUGGGACCCGAAAGAUGGUGAACUAUGCCUGAAUAGGGUGAAGCCAGAGGAAACUCUGGUGGAGGCUCGUAGCGAUUCUGACGUGCAAAUCGAUCGUCAAAUUUGGGUAUAGGGGCGAA
rnacentral:rRNA from 1 species